rnacentral:rRNA from 1 species
GAUCAAGUGUCUUAAGGGCAAUUGGUGGAUGCCUUGGCAUGCACAGGCGAUGAAGGACGUGAUACGCUGCGAUAAGCUACGGGGAGGUGCGAAUACCCUUUGAUCCGUAGAUCUCCGAAUGGGGAAACCCACCUAAGGUACUUGGAAAAUCAGAGCAGCGGAGCAAUCUGCUGCUGUGGUUUCCAAGUAUCGCUAAUAGGUAACUUAUCCUGAAUCCAUAGGGAUAAAGUGGCGAACGCGGGGAACUGAAACAUCUAAGUACCCGUAGGAAAGGACAUCAACCGAGACUCCGGAAGUAGUGGCGAGCGAACCCGGACCAGGCCAGUGGCGAUUGAGAGACAAGCGGAACCUUCUGGAAAGUAGGGCCAUAGCGGGUGACAGCCCCGUACGCGUAAUGCGAUCAAUCGUCCUCGAGUAAGGCGGGACACGUGAAAUCCUGUCUGAAAUUGGGAGGACCACCUUCCAAGCCUAAGUACUCGUGCAUGACCGAUAGCGAACUAGUACCGUGAGGGAAAGGUGAAAAGCACCCCGACAAGGGGAGUGAAAGAGUACCUGAAACCGAUUGCCUACAAACAGUGGGAGUCCGCAAGGAUGACCACGUACCUUUUGUAUAAUGGGUCAGCGACUUAGUGUGACGAGCAAGCUUAAACCGGUAGGUGUAGGCGCAGCGAAAGCGAGUCUGAACAGGGCGUUCAGUUCGUCGCAUUAGACCCGAAACCGAGUGAUCUAGCCAUGAGCAGGCUGAAGGUAAGGUAACACUUACUGGAGGGCCGAACCCAUAACUGUUGCAAUAGUUCGGGAUGACUUGUGGCUAGGGGUGAAAGGCCAAUCAAACUCGGAAAUAGCUGGUUCUCCGCGAAAUCUAUUUAGGUAGAGCGUCGACCGAAUACCCCAGGGGGUAGAGCACUGGAUGGGCUAGGGGUCCUCACCGGAUUACCAAACCUAACCAAACUCCGAAUACCUGGGAGUACUAGUCGGCAGACACACGGCGGGUGCUAACGUCCGUCGUGAAAAGGGAAACAACCCUGACCUACAGCUAAGGUCCCCAAGUUAUGGCUAAGUGGGAAAGGAUGUGAGGAUCCCAAAACAACCAGGAUGUUGGCUUAGAAGCAGCCAUCAUUUAAAGAAAGCGUAACAGCUCACUGGUCUAAAUAAGGGUCUUUGCGCCGAAAAUGUAACGGGGCUAAAGCCAUACACCGAAGCUUAGGGUUCGUGAGCAAUCACGAGCGGUAGCGGAGCGUUCUGUAAGCUGAUGAAGCCGUACCCGUGAGGGGCGGUGGAGGUAUCAGAAGUGCGAAUGCUGACAUGAGUAACGUAAGGGGAGUGAGAGACUCCCCCGCCGAAAGACCAAGGGUUCCUGCUUAAAGUUAAUCUGAGCAGGGUUAGCCGGCCCCUAAGACGAGGCGGAAACGCGUAGUCGAUGGGAACCACGUUAAUAUUCGUGGGCCUGGAGGUAGUGACGGAUCACACAAGUUGUCCAAUCUUAUCGGAUUGAACGGGCAGCGGAGUGGUUCCAGGAAAUAGCUCCUCCUUAUAGACCGUACCCGAAACCGACACUGGUGGUCAGGUAGAGUAUACCAAGGCGCUUGAGAGAACUAUGCUGAAGGAACUCGGCAAAUUGCACGCGUAACUUCGGAAGAAGCGUGACCCUUUUUAGCGCAAGCUAGGGAGGGUGGCACAGACCAGGGGGUAGCGACUGUUUAUCAAAAACACAGGGCUCUGCGAAGCCGCAAGGCGACGUAUAGGGUCUGACGCCUGCCCGGUGCUGGAAGGUUAAGAGGAGGGGUGCAAGCUCUGAAUCGAAGCCCCAGUAAACGGCGGCCGUAACUAUAACGGUCCUAAGGUAGCGAAAUUCCUUGUCGGGUAAGUUCCGACCUGCACGAAUGG